UACCGGCUACAAGUGCCAAAACAACACAAGAAUUCAGAAAUGAGAACACAAUUCGCAUAUAGCUUUGAUUCGCAUAUGCGUUGCGUACCAUGAUUGAUCCCUGCGCACGAAGCCAUCCACCUUGGCACCGCCGCGCUCGUCCUGCACCUGCACGUUGCCGCUGCUGCCGCCAUUGACGGGGACGAGCCCGCGCUCUGCGACAUGGUUCUCCCUCUCCAUAGCUUCCCACAUCUCCAUUGCUGCUCUGUGCUGUGAUCUAUGGAUGUCAUGUAUAUAUGCUUACAGGGCAGAUGAUGUAUCUCUGAGAUGGACUGCACUGGAUCGGAGUAAUCACUUCCUAGCUUGAACUGGAUGGGCCAUAAGCGUCUACAUAAACCCAUUAUUGGACGUGAAAAUCAUGACAGCAACGCUGUGUUUUCGACAGGGGCGGACCCAGGGCCCGGCGACCCUGGGCACCGGCCUGGGCUCCGGAGCAACAAUCACAAGAUGCCAGCCGUCAAAUAUGCCAUUCAUUUGUUCCGCAAUAGCUGAGAAAAAACAGCCGCCUUGUAUUGGCCCAGGCUCCAUUCACAAGCUGGGUCCGCCACUGGUUUUCGAGGAGAUUCAUUGGCAGGUGAUCCAUGAGUGUGCCUUCAUCUGAACUAGUCCUCUCCUCUUUAAUUGAGUGGAUGGGUGAUCCUUGUCGAAUAAAGCGACACCAAUUAACUCACUGAGAGAGAAAAUGUUUGAAUUGGCAUCAAGUGUCUAUGUGUCAUAGAGACCUGGACAACUUGUUAUACAUUCAUUAAGUUUUUGUAUCAUCUCCAUCAACAUUGUAAAAGAAUUAUUUUCUUCAAGGAGGCAA